rnacentral:other from 1 species
UGUCUUCCGCAGCGUGCCACUGUCUCUCUGUAGCCCCUUGAGCCUAAUGCUUGCGAUCGGGAGCCAGCCCUGCGCAGGGCGUGCAAGUCCGCAUCAUGGCGGAAAGCCCGAAUGCGUAGUCAGGCACCCACUUGAGACCCUGUCUCAAGGUCAAUGAAGGAUGGCGGCGCCUGCGGGAGACAC